rnacentral:rRNA from 1 species
AACGAACGCUGGCGGCAUGCCUAACACAUGCAAGUCGAACGAGACCUUUGGGUCUAGUGGCGCACGGGUGCGUAACGCGUGGGAAUCUGCCCAUUGCUUCGGAAUAACAGUUAGAAAUGACUGCUAAUACCGGAUGAUGUCUUCGGACCAAAGAUUUAUCGGCAAAGGAUGAGCCCGCGUAGGAUUAGGUAGUUGGUGGGGUAAAGGCCUACCAAGCCGACGAUCCUUAGCUGGUCUGAGAGGAUGAUCA